rnacentral:lncRNA from 1 species
UCUUUCUUAUUUUAAGAAGAAAAAUAAAUCUUGUUCUUAGGUUUGUCUAAGCUCCACAAUUUCCUGAAAUUCACCUUUCACCCUUGAAAAAUGAGAAAUACACUGUAUACUAAAGCUAAGUUCCCUCCAAUUCUAUCUGGCUUCUCUUGACUAACAGGAAAAAGAUGACCCGGGAUGAGAAAGAAGUUGGCAAAGUAUACAAAAGGGUCAGGCAGUGUCCCACACUGCAGAAUGGGCUAGCUGACCACCCACACCCACAAGCUGGGUCCAUGGCUCUCACAUUGCUCUGAAGUCCAGUAUGUUCUGGCCUGGGCCCUGGUUCCUUCCUAACACACAGACUGUCCAAGACCCAACUUGGCUCUUAAAUUUCUUCCUCUGAGACUUUG